rnacentral:sRNA from 1 species
GGAUUACAGGUGAGCGAGUGCUAUGCUUUCAUGGGCCUCUUCUUUAUGAAGCAAAGUGUGUAAAGGUUGCCAUAAAGGACAAACAAGUGAAAUACUUUAUACAUUACAGUGGCUGGAAUAAAAAUUGGGAUGAGUGGGUUCCGGA